rnacentral:lncRNA from 1 species
GUGGUUAUUAAUUAUACAAAGUUUAUGAUAACAUGUCAUUGAACACACUAGAAUAGACAUGGUUUUGUUCCUGCAAUUCAACACAUUCAGUAUACAUUUUCUGCAUUCAUUUAUGCCGGAAAAACAGUUAUUAAUAGAGUUUAUAUUAGAUCAAAAUGAAAUGUUAUAAAUAGCACAUUUUUAGAUUCUAAUUACAUUAGAAACUUC